rnacentral:lncRNA from 1 species
AAAAUCCUCAACAAAAAUUUGCAAGUAGAAUCCAAUAGUGUAUAAAAAAAAUUAUACACCACAACCAAAUACUGUAGCAUACCAAGUGCGUAGUAUCCCAAGUAUGUAAAACUGGUUCAGCAUUCUAAAGUCAAUUAAUGUCAUCCAUCAAUCACAUCGACAAACUAAGGAAGAAAAAAUGACAUGAUCAUAUCAAUAGAUACAGACAAAGUAUUUGUCAAAAUCCAACAUCUAUAUAUGACAAAAGCUCUCAGUAAACUAGAAAUAUAGGGGAACUUCCUCAACUUGAUAAGGAAUGUCUAUUAAAAAAACUACAGUUAACAUCAUACUUAAUGACGAUAAACUGUACAGAAGCUUUCUCACUAAGAUCAGAAACAAGCCAAAUAUGUCAUCUCUAAUAACUUCUUUUCAAUGCCAUGCUAGAAGCCCUCGCUAAUACAAUAAAUAAGACAAGUAAAGAAAAUAACAGGUAUACUGAUUGGAAAGGAAGAAAUAAAAACUGUCUUUGUUCACAGAUGUCAUGAUUGUCUAUGUAGAAAAUCAAAAGAAUUAACAACAACAACAACCAAAAAAAAAAACUCCUGAAACUAAUAAGUGAGUAUAGUGAAGUUGCAGGGUACAAGGCUAAUACACAAAAGUCAACUGCUUUCCUAUGUACCAACAAUGAACAAGUAGGAUUUGAAUUUAAACACAUAAUGCCAUUUACAUUAGCACCACAAGAAUACACAACACUUAGAUAUAAAUCUAACAACAUAUGUACAAGAUUUAUGUGAGGAAAAGUGCAAAACUCUAAUGAAAGAAAUUAGAGAUGAUCUAAAUAAAUGGAGAGAUAUUCAACAUUCAUGGAUAGGAAGACUCAAUAUUGUCAAGAUGUCAGUUCUUCCCAACUUGAUGUAUAUAUUCAAUACAAUACUAAUCAAAAUCCUACAGAGUUAUUUUGUGGAUAUUGACAAACUAGUUCUAAAGUUUAUAUGUAGAGACAAAAGACCCAGAAUAGCCAACGCAGUACUGAAGGAGAAGAACAAAGCCAGAGGACUGGCACUACUUAACGUCAAGACUUACCGUAAAGCGACAGUAAUCACGACAGUGUGGUAUUUGUGAAAGAAUAGACCUCUACCAAUAGUUCAGUGGAAUAAAAUAGAGGGCCUAGAAAUAGACCCACAUAAAUAUAGUCAACUGACCUUUGACAAAGCAGAAAACAAAAGGUACUGGAACAACUGGACAACCACAUGC